rnacentral:rRNA from 1 species
GACAGAGGUGCCGAGCGUUAGGCGGAAUCACUGGGCUUAAAGCGUGUGUAGGCGGGUCGUUAAGUGUCUUGUGAAAUCCCACCGCUCAACGGUGGAACUGCUGGGCAUACUGGCGAUCGUUGAGCCACCUAGGGGCAGACGGAACAAGCGGUGGAGCGGUGAAAUGCGUAGAUAUCGUAAGGAAGACCAGUGGCGAAGGCGGGUCUCUGGACAGUUCCUGACGCUGGAGGCACGAAAGCCAGGGAGCAAACGGG